rnacentral:rRNA from 1 species
AGUGAACGCUGGCGGUAGGCCUAACACAUGCAAGUCGAACGGCAGCACAGUAAGAGCUUGCUCUUACGGGAGGCGAGUGGCGGACGGGUGAGGAAUACAUCGGAAUCUACUUUUUCGUGGGGGAUCACGUAGGGAAACUUACGCUAAUACCGCAUACGACCUACGGGUGAAAGCAGGGGAUCUUCGGACCUUGCGCGAUUGAAUGAGCCGAUGUCGGAUUAGCUAGUUGGCGGGGUAAAGGCCCACCAAGGCGACGAUCCGUAGCUGGUCUGAGAGGAUGAUCAGCCACACUGGAACUGAGACACGGUCCAGACUCCUACGGGAGGCAGCAGUGGGGAAUAUUGGACAAUGGGCGCAAGCCUGAUCCAGCCAUGCCGCGUGGGUGAAGAAGGCCUUCGGGUUGUAAAGCCCUUUUGUUGGGAAAGAAAAGCAGCAAGUUAAUACCCCGCUGUUCUGACGGUACCCAAAGAAUAAGCACCGGCUAACUUCGUG